UACGUAGGGUGCAAGCGUUAAUCGGAAUUACUGGGCGUAAAGCGUGCGCAGGCGGUUUUGUAAGUCAGAUGUGAAAGCCCCGGGCUUAACCUGGGAACUGCGUUUGAAACUACAAGGCUAGAGUGUGGCAGAGGGGGGUGGAAUUCCACGUGUAGCAGUGAAAUGCGUAGAUAUGCGGAGGAACACCGAUGGCGAAGGCAAUCCCCUGGGCCUGCACUGACGCUCAUGCACGAAAGCGUGGGGAGCAAACAGG
rnacentral:rRNA from 1 species